GAUGUGUUUAGUGAUGCUCAACUUUUUUCCCCGUCUAAUCGACCAUGGUGAAAGUCAAUUGAAAAUAAGCCAAUUGUGUCUGAAUCCACAUC
ensembl:snoRNA small nucleolar SNORD12/SNORD106